GGAUACAUCCACAACGUCGGGGUAUUUUCUGAAAUUUUCUUACGCGAGAUGUUUAUUUAUUACGCUCAUUCGUAUUCGAAUUGAAACGAUUAAUUUAUUCCUCGAGGGCAUCAUCGAAAAGAUUCUCUUUCGAAUCGUUUUCUCAAAAGAUUUUCCUCGAGGCGAAGGGAAAUCUUUGAUCGAUGGAACAAGUGGCAUUCGUAGAAUAUCGAAAGCACGAUCAAUCUGGAGAACAAUUAGAAGAGGAAAUUUCGAUUUGUUCGAAGAAAAAAUACGAGACGGAAUAUUUUCAACGAUGCUUUUCUUCCCUUUCUGUUUAUCCCUAUUUUCAAACGGUACAUGCUUCUAUGAAUCAUUUUAUUUGCCACUUGACCGUUUAAUGAUGAGUCAUCGACGAGAAUAUUUGUAAAAGUGUAUUCUAACAAUUAUAUAUUAAAAUUUUCACACUUCCUAUUCGUAUCUUAUCUUUCUUAUAAAUUUUUAUUCGCAUUUCUUAUUUUUCUCUAUCAAAUUUUUCUAACUUGUAGAACUAUUCGCAUUUUUUACUGGUCAUCUUAAAAGUUUUUCUAACUUCUAUUCUUUUUCUAUUCACAUUUGUCUCUUCACAUUUGUUCCAAAAAUAAAUAACCAUAUUUCAAUGCCUAACGGAUUAGUUCUCCUUCCUGGUAUUUUUCAUAAUAAUAAAAAACUUAAAAUAAUAAAGGUAGAAAUAUAUGUAGCGGUCAAUUAUUGUUGCUCAGGUAAAGAAAAGUUUGCGGUCGAACGCGAAAGUUUAGCAUAAAAUAAAUGAAGAUAUGUUGUUCUAAAACUACUGUUAAAACCGACGAUAACAAUGAAUACAAUCCACAGUUUUGAUAUCUAAAUUGAUGUUCAAUCUUGUGUUCAACAAUUAUUGCGAAAGGGUUCAAUAUUGAAAUAGCAUGCGAUUAGAAGAUAAUUUAACAUUAUUGGCAUUAUUCGACGAUUUUAUUGAAAUCGAUUAACAUUUCGAUUCGAUUGCAAAGAUGAAAUAAGGAAUGUUUUUUUUUUAAGGGAAUAGAAUUGUUUUUUAAAACUUUACAGAUAUAACCGUGUAUUUAUAAUCGUUUAUACAAGAUCGAUAUAUCCUCGUGAUACCUAACAGAUCGAUUUUGAGUGAAUUUAAUUUUAGUGUAGUAAUAUAAACAGAUAAUAAAGUGCUCGAAGCAUGACUUCAUUUUUUUUUUUUUUAUACUAUACAUAUACUCACGUAUAUAUAAUAAUAAUAAUAAUAAUAAUAUAAAUUAUAAAUUACAAGAAAAGAAGAGUUUUUUUUUUCUUUCUUUUUUUUUUUCUUUUUUUUUUCUCUUUUUUUUUUUCUUCUUUUAAUUUCUCAACUCGAAUCGAGAGGGAAUCUUGUUGAUCGAACGAAAUCAUAUUAUGACAAUUACAUUGCACAGCCAUUGAUUAAUAAAUAGAGUUUGUAUAAAUUUGAAAUGAAAACAAGAAAUAUCUCUCUUUGUUCGAAAUAUAACGCAGAAAAUGAAAUCAUUCACCGUCUUUAACUUAUAAUAUAGGCGUAAAGAAUGAACAAAAAAAACACUUGGAAGUUCAACAAUCAUAUUAUAUAUUACUUGUCAAACUCGCAUCAAUAUCGAAUCAAUAUAAUGUCUUAUUGAUAUAUUUCCUUAAAGCUAGUAAAAUGAAUAGACGAGCCACGAUCCAUUCAACUGGAUCGGCGAAGUGGUAAAAGAUAAUGUCCGUAUACCCAUAGAGCCAGGGCAACGAAUAAAAUUACAACGCUUUUAAUGUAUUAUUCAACAAAUGCAAACCGUUACUCUCUGUGUGAGUCGACGUAAUUAUAUGAUACAGAUUAAAUGGGAGUCGAACGUCGAAAAUCCGUCCAAAGUUUGCGAUCAAAACGUACACCCGUUCAUUUGUACAAAGUAGAAUGUUGUAUUUUUACUUAUCGGCAAGAAUACUAUCGCUAACAAUAUGCGAAAGAAAAAAAAAGAAAGAAAGAAAGA